AGCUCCAAUAGCGUAUAUUAAAGUUGUUGCAGUUAAAAAGCUCGUAGUUGGAUUUGUGUUCUGGCGCGAUGUCCAUCUUGGUACGUUCGCGUGAGAGCAUCCUUGGGUGGAACCUGCGUGGCAUUAGGUUGUCGUGUAGGGGAUGCUCAUCGUUUACUGUGAAAAAAUUAGAGUGUUCAAAGCAGGCUUAGGCCGUUGAAUAUAUUAGCAUGGAAUAAUGAGAUAGGACCUUGGUACUAUUUUGUUGGUUUGCGCACCGAGGUAAUGAUUAACAGGGACAGUUGGGGGUAUUCGUAUUCCAUUGUCAGAGGUGAAAUUCUUGGAUUUUUGGAAGACGAACUACUGCGAAAGCAUUUACCAAGGAUGUUUUCA
rnacentral:rRNA from 1 species